rnacentral:rRNA from 1 species
ACUGCUCAGUAACACGUGGCUAAUCUGCCCUUAGGACGAGAACAACCCCGGGAAACUGGGGCUAACUCUUGAUAGGCGAAGAACUCUGGAAUGAGUCUUUACCUAAAAAGAUUCACGUUAUCCUCGUGAACCUGCCUAAGGAUGAGGCCGCGACCGAUCAGGUUGUUGGCGAGGUAAUGGCUCACCAAGCCUUUUACCGGUGCGGGCCGUGGGAGCGGGAGCCCGGAGAUGGGUACUGAGACAAGGACCCAGGCCCUACGGGGCGCAGCAGUCGCGAAACCUUUGCAAUACACGAAAGUGUGACAGGGCUAUCCCGAGUGCCAUCCGCUGAGGAAGGCUUUUACCCAGUCUAGAACGCUGGGGGAAUAAGGAGAGGGCAAGUCUGGUGUCAGCCGCCGCGGUAAUACCAGCUCUCCGAGUGGUGUGGAUGUUUAUUGGGCCUAAAGCAUCCGUAGCUGGCUAGGUAAGUCCCUUGUUAAAUCCACCGAAUUAAUCGUUGGAUCGCGGGGGAUACUGCUUGGCUAGGGGACGAGAGAGGCAGACGGUAUUCUCGGGGUAGGGGUGAAAUCCUAUAAUCCCGGGAAGACCACCAGUGGCGAAGGCUGUCUGCUAGAACGCGCCCGACGGUGAGGGAUGAAAGCUGGGGGAGCGAACCGGAUUAGAUACCCGGGUAGUCCCAGCUGUAAACGAUGCAGACUAGGUGUUUGAACGGCCACGUGACGUUCUAGUGCCGCAGGGAAGCUGUUAAGUCUGCCGCCUGGGGAGUACGAUCGCAAGAUUGAAACUUAAAGGAAUUGGCGGGGGAGCAC